UCCGGGGGGGGCAAGCGUUGUUCGGAAUUACUGGGCGUAAAGGGCUCGUAGGUGGCCAACUAAGUCAGACGUGAAAUCCCUCGGCUUAACCGGGGAAUGGCGUCUGAUACUGGAUGGCUUGAGUUCGGGAGAGGGAUGCGGAAUUCCAGGUGUAGCGGUGAAAUGCGUAGAUAUCGAGAAGAACACUUACGGCGUAGGCAGGAUCCUGGACAAAUGUUGACGCUCAUGCACGAAGGCUAGGGUAGCGAACGGG
rnacentral:rRNA from 1 species